UGUCUCUGCGAAGUGAGGUGGAAAGUUAUUUCCAUACCAGAAAGUGGCUUGGAAGAAGGUGCAGAGAAAGGAAUGGAAAACAGAAAUACAACUGAGGAAGAUGGCAGCAUGAAUAAAAGACAUGGACUAAUAACUUGUAAUGAGAGACGUGGGUAAAUGUGGAACCCCAGACACAUCUCUGCUCAGCGUUUCCCAUCAGGUGGACUGGCCUGUUGUGGAUAAAGGCCUGCCUGUAAUCUCUGCUGAGCAGUAUCUUCAGAGUGGGGUAUGUUUUUAAAUUCUGGAAUAAGUAAUACUUUCUUG